rnacentral:rRNA from 1 species
CCUACGGGAGGCAGCAGUGGGGAAUAUUGGACAAUGGGCGAAAGCCUGAUCCAGCAAUGCCGCGUGUGUGAAGAAGGCCUUCGGGUUGUAAAGCACUUUCAGUGGGGAAGAAAGCCUUGGGGCUAAUACCCUCGGGGAAGGACAGCACCCACAGAAGAAGCACCGGCUAACUCCGUGCCAGCAGCCGCGGUAAUACGGAGGGUGCGAGCGUUAAUCGGAAUUACUGGGCGUAAAGCGCGCGUAGGCGGUCUGAUAAGCCGGUUGUGAAAGCCCCGGGCUCAACCUGGGAACGGCAUCCGGAACUGUCAGGCUAGAGUGCAGGAGAGGAAGGUAGAAUUCCCGGUGUAGCGGUGAAAUGCGUAGAGAUCGGGAGGAACACCAGUGGCGAAGGCGGCCCUCUGGACUUACACUGACGCUGAGGUGCGAAAGCGUGGGUAGCAAACAGGAUUAGAUACCCCUGUAGUC